rnacentral:lncRNA from 1 species
UCAUUCCAUAAAGUGAAAGUGAAGGUGUGAAAAUGGCGAUUGCACUUUGGAACUGCACUACUACUUCCUUAUCCUCUGCGCUAUGGUCCACCGUUAAAUUACGCUACUCCCACGUUUCUUAUAGACCCAUUGUUUCCCUUCAUUCUUAUAGACCCAAUCCUCACCCUCCAUCCCCCUCCUCCUCUAAAUCUAUUACUCAACAAAAGAAGGAGAAGAAGAAGCAAUCAAAAGAUGAAAGAGGGAAUGUGGUUAAACCCCAACCUGCUUCUUCUUAUAAAGGAUUUGGCAUUCCUAGGAAAGAUAAAGACUCUGUCUUUGACUCAAAGGAUCAGCAGGCAAUUAAAUGGUUGUUCACAAAUUGGUUUUUGGAGGAUAAUCGGGGGAAGGGGUAGGCAUACAAACCAUAAAAUACACUUGUGAAUGGGCUCUCGAGUCUUCCUUUUUUCUUCUUUCCUCUCCACAAAAUGUCAUCAUGUGCCAUUGGUGGGGAAAUAAGGUUGAACCAAAUAACAUACAAAGCGCAGCUUUCCUUAAUGCUGUUGUGAAGGUAAAGUUUAAAUUUUCCCUUUUCCUUUUCCUAGUUAAGGAUGAUUUAUAUUUUUGUUCCAAACCUUUGACAUGAGAGUGGGUCCACCUUGAAUUUUUGAUGUCUAAAUGAAACACUAUUUUUGUACACCAAACAUGUUUUUUUUUUGUUGUCUCUAUUCUAUCCAUAUCUGU